GUCGAGCGGUAAGGCCCCUUCGGGGGUACACGAGCGGCGAACGGGUGAGUAACACGUGAGCAACCUACCCUCAACUUCGGGAUAAGCCUCGGAAACGGGGUCUAAUACCGGAUAUCACCUCGGGCUUCAUGGUUUGGGGUUGAAAGUUCUGGCGGUUGGGGAUGGGCUCGCGGCCUAUCAGCUUGUUGGUGGGGUAAUGGCCUACCAAGGCGUCGACGGGUAGCCGGCCUGAGAGGGCGACCGGCCACACUGGGACUGAGACACGGCCCAGACUCCUACGGGAGGCAGCAGUGGGGAAUAUUGCGCAAUGGGCGAAAGCCUGACGCAGCAACGCCGCGUGAGGGAUGACGGCCUUCGGGUUGUAAACCUCUUUCAGCAGGGACGAAGCGAGAGUGACGGUACCUGCAGAAGAAGGACCGGCCAACUACGUGCCAGCAGCCGCGGUAAUACGUAGGGUCCGAGCGUUGUCCGGAAUUAUUGGGCGUAAAGGGCUCGUAGGCGGUUCGUCGCGUCGGGAGUGAAAACUCGGAGCUUAACUCCGAGCCUGCUUCCGAUACGGGCAGACUAGAGGUAGGCAGGGGAGAGCGGAACUCCUGGUGUAGCGGUGGAAUGCGCAGAUAUCAGGAAGAACACCGGUGGCGAAGGCGGCUCUCUGGGCCUUACCUGACGCUG
rnacentral:rRNA from 1 species